GACGAACGCUGGCGGCGUGCUUAACACAUGCAAGUCGAGCGGUAAGGCUCCUUCGGGAGUACACGAGCGGCGAACGGGUGAGUAACACGUGAGUAACCUGCCCCAUUCAUCGGAAUAACCAGUGGAAACGCUGGCUAAUGCCGAAUACGACCACCGAAGGCAUCUUCUGGUGGUGGAAAGCUCCGGCGGAAUGGGAUGGACUCGCGGCCUAUCAGCUUGUUGGUGAGGUAAUGGCUCACCAAGGCGACGACGGGUAGCCGGCCUGAGAGGGUGACCGGCCACACUGGGACUGAGACACGGCCCAGACUCCUACGGGAGGCAGCAGUGGGGAAUAUUGGACAAUGGGCGAAAGCCUGAUCCAGCAACGCCGCGUGAGGGAUGACGGCCUCGG
rnacentral:rRNA from 1 species